AUGAUGGAGUUCCAAAGCCAAAAUCGUAACGCCACUGUGUAUGAACUAGCUUGAGACCAAGAAAUCCAUGAUUAUCAUCUCCAAACUGUGGAAGUGCGCCGUCAUUAACGUCUAAUGGAUCGACGCCCUCUUCAAAAGAAACCCUCCAAUAGGCAUCAUUCGCAGCUCGGCUGACUAUCUUUGUUAUUCGUCCAUUAAUAUCUACUGGCGAGAAGCUAUUCUGAGUCUCAUCU
rnacentral:lncRNA from 1 species